ensembl:lncRNA
GAUGCGCUGAUCUUCCUCAGGGAUUUCGCCGCCGCCUUCCUCGCCCACCUGAGCCCCCCCCCGGGACCCCCCCCGGGACCCCCGCCCGGUACCGGGGGUGGGGGGAGGGGCUCCGGGGGGGGAGGGGCUCCAGGGGGGGGAGGGGCUCCCGGCUUUGGGGGUCCCCUCACUGUUCCCCUCCCCCCCCCUCCUCCUGCAGCCCCCCCCGGGAUCGGGGACCCCCCCCGGCCGGAGCCGCCCCCGGAGCGGGACCCCCAAACGGAGACACCCCCGAUCUACUUCCGGUGGGACUGGGGGCACUGGGGGGCACUGGGGGGGACUGGGGGGGACUGGGGGGGGCUGGGAGGGACUGGGGGGCACUGGGGGGGACUGGGGGGGGCUGGGGGGGACUGGGAGGGGACUGGGAGGGGCUGGGGGGAACUGGGGGGGACUGGGGGGGACUGGGAGGGACUGGGGGGGACUGGGGGGGACUGGGGGGGGCUGGACUGUCCCAGGCUGACGGUGCUGUCCCCGUCCCUGUCCUGUCCCCUCUGUCCCCAGCGAGUUCCGUUUCAUGGCCGAUGUCCCCGUCUGGUUGGAUUACCGCGGCAAGCGCGUCACCAUGGAGCAGGGCGCCCUGGCCGGGAUCCUGAUCGGACUGGCGCGGCUGAACUGCUCCGAACUGCGGCUGAAACGGCUCUGCCACCGCCAGGGGCUGCUGGGGCUGGGCCGGGUCGUGUCCUACGCCGUGUCCGAGUGGCUCCGGGACAUUCGGUGUCACCAACUGCCGGGGCUGCUGGGGGGGGUGGCACCAGUGCACGCGGUGCUGCAGCUCUGUGAGUGCCACCGUGUCACCCGUGUCACCCUGUCCCCAGUGCCACCGUGUCACCGUGUCACCCGUGUCACCCGUGUCACUGUGUCACCUGUGUCCCCAGUCCAUCCCAGUAUCCCCAGUGUCCCCAAUGUCACCCCAUCCCCAGUGUCCUCGGUGUCCCCCCAGUCCCUCCCAGUCCCUCCCAGUUCCCCCCCAAUUCCCCCCCAGUCCCUCCCAGUCCCUCCCAGUCCCUCCCAGUUCCCCCCCAGUCCCUCCCAGUCCCCCCCAGUCCCUCCCAGUUCCCUCCCAGUCCCUCCCAGUCCCCUCCAAUCCCCUCCCAGUCCCUCCCAGUCCCCUUCCAGUCCCCUCCAAUCCCCUCCCAGUCCCUCCCAGUCCCUCCCAGUCCCUCCCAGUCCCUCCCAGUGCCCCCAGUACCGCAGUGUCCCUCCCCAGGGCGCGCUCUCCGGGAUCUGCUGCUGCUGCCGCUGCCGGGGGGGGGUCCCGGGGGUGUCACCCACAGUGUCACCCGUGGGGUGUCGGCUCUGGGCGCCGCCUCGGCCAGCGCCGCUCUGGGGCUGUGCACGCGGCUGCUGCGGGCGCUGCAGGCUUUGGCCGAGGCCCUUUUCGGACUCGUGACCCCCCCGGAACCCCCCCGGCCCCGGCGGCUCCCAGUACGGACCAGUAUGGACCAGUUUGGGUCUGGGGGGUCCCAGUUUGGGUUUGGGGGUCCCAGUUUGGGUCGGGGGGGUCCCAGUUUGGGUCGGGGGGGUCCCAGUUUGGGUCAGGGGGUCCCAGUUCGGGGUCUGGGGGUCCCAGUUUGGGUCAGGGGGUCCCAGUUUGGGUCAGGGGGUCCCAGUUUGGGGUUUGGGGUCCCAGUUUGGGGUUUGGGGUCCCAGUUUGGGUCUGGGGGUCCCAGUUUGGGUCAGGGGGUCCCAGUAUGGCCCAGUUUGGGGUCGGGGGGGUCCCAGUUCACCCUGGGGGUGCUGGGGGGGUGCUUGUGCCUCCCAGUCCAUCCCAGUCCCUCCCAGUCCAUCCCAGUCCCUCCCAGUUUAUCCCAGUCCAUCCCAGUCCCCCCCAGUCCAUCCCAGUCCAUCCCAGUUCCCCCCCUCUCUCCCCAGCGCCUCCCCGGCUCCAGGACCGGCCCCGCCCCCACCGAGGGACUGGGGGGGCCUCGGCCGCGACCCCCCCCCCAAUAAACUGGGAGACACUGCUUUUACUGGUUUUACUGGUUUUACUGGUUCUUACUGGUUUUACUGGUUCUUACUGGGACUGGGAGCUGGGACUGGGGCUGGUUUUACUGGGACUGGGACUGGUUUUUACUGGUUUUACUGGACUGGGCCUUACUGGUCCUCACUGGUUUUUACUGGUUUUACUGGACUGGGCCUUACUGGUUUUUACUGGUUUUACUGGGACUGGGACUGGUUUUUACUGGUUUUUACUGGACUGGGCCUCACUGGUUUUUACUGGGACUGGUUUUUACUGGGACUGGGAGCUGGGACUGGGACUGGGACUGGUUUUACUGGGACUGGGACUAGUUUUUACUGGUUUUACUGGACUGGGCCUUACUGGUCCUCACUGGUUUUUACUGGUUUUACUGGGACUGGGACUGGUUUUUACUGGUUUUUACUGA